rnacentral:rRNA from 1 species
AUUGAACGCUGGCGGAAUGCUUUACACAUGCAAGUCGAGCGGCAGCGCGGGGCAACCUGGCGGCGAGCGGCGAACGGGUGAGUAAUACAUCGGAACGUGCCCAGACGUGGGGAUAACUACUCGAAGAGUGGCUAAUACCGCAUACGAUCUAAGGAUGAAAGCGGGGGAUCGCAAGACCUCGCGCGUUUGGAGCGGCCGAUGGCAGAUUAGGUAGUUGGUGGGGUAAAGGCUUACCAAGCCCGCGAUCUGUAGCUGGUCUGAGAGGAUGAUCAGCCACACUGGGACUGAGACACGGCCCAGACUCCUACGGGAGGCAGCAGUGGGGAAUUUUGGACAAUGGGCGAAAGCCUGAUCCAGCCAUUCCGCGUGCAGGAUGAAGGCCCUCGGGUUGUAAACUGCUUUUGUACAGAACGAAAAAGACUCUUUCUAAUACAGAGAGUCCAUGACGGUACUGUAAGAAUAAGCACCGGCUAACUACGUGCCAGCAGCCGCGGUAAU